rnacentral:lncRNA from 1 species
AAGACAUGUUGGUAGCAAAGACACUGCUCUGAGCAGAGACUGGUGGCAAAGCCCAGCGCAAUCCACCCUUCUGAGCACAGCCUACAGGAACUUCAGUGCCGACGGAGUCACGGAGGCCACUCUAGGUUUUACAUGGCCAUAGUUGAGCUUCUGAAAUUUUGAAGGAUCUCCCUGCCCACCCAGCUACUAGUCAUCCACUUGGUAAUGUAGACAGAAUGAAAAAGGCAGGAAAGAUCAUUCAUCAAAUUAUUUUCUAACAUCCGUUAUCUAGCAGGCUUUUACCAGGUACUAGAGAUGGAAAGAUGAGAAGGAAAAAUCGAAGUUGCUGACAAGCUUCUGUGAAAGCAAAUGUGGAAACAGACUACUGUGAAACUGAGUUUGGCCAUAUGAGGAAUAGCACAUUUGAGGACUCCCCAGAAGAAAAACGACAAAGGAGGCUGAAAGGAGUGAAGAGGAAAAAAGAUACAGAGGGGAGAGCAAGGUAACCCCAUCAAGUACUGGAGACUCACAGCAAGACAGCCACCCAGAGGGGGAGCACAGCGUCUCGGUGUAAGACUCAGGGUGGUGCCUUGCCCAGCCUCUGCCCUGAGAAGCAACAGACACUACCUGCGCUGUCAGGGGCUGUGUCUGAGCAGGAGCUGGUUUGCUAAAUCAAGGGCAAGAAGAGAAAGCUCAGGUCUUUUGGGUCUUGAAGAAACUGUACUUCUUACCUCGUCCUUCUCUUCUCUGUUUUAAGGGAGAGACUAAAGAAUGGUGAGGUUUGAAACUCAGAGGAAAACCAGCUUGGUGAUCUGUUUUUUGUUUAGCUGACACGAAAUCAU